CCUACGGGAGGCAGCAGUGGGGAAUAUUGGACAAUGGGGGCAACCCUGAUCCAGCCAUGCCGCGUGUGUGAAGAAGGCCCUCGGGUUGUAAAGCACUUUCAGUGAGGAAGAACGCCUGGUGGUUAAUACCCAUCAGGAAAGACAUCACUCACAGAAGAAGCACCGGCUAACUCCGUGCCAGCAGCCGCGGUAAUACGGAGGGUGCGAGCGUUAAUCGGAAUUACUGGGCGUAAAGCGCGCGUAGGUGGCUUGAUAAGCCGGUUGUGAAAGCCCCGGGCUCAACCUGGGAACGGCAUCCGGAACUGUCAAGCUAGAGUGCAGGAGAGGAACGUAGAAUUCCCGGUGUAGCGGUGAAAUGCGUAGAGAUCGGGAGGAAUACCAGUGGCGAAGGCGGCCUUCUGGACUGACACUGACACUGAGGUGCGAAAGCGUGGGUAGCAAACAGGAUUAGAUACCCUAGUAGUC
rnacentral:rRNA from 1 species